rnacentral:rRNA from 1 species
UCCUACGGGAGGCAGCAGUGGGGAAUAUUGCACAAUGGGGGAAACCCUGAUGCAGCCAUGCCGCGUGUGUGAAGAAGGCCUUCGGGUUGUAAAGCACUUUCAGCGAGGAGGAAAGGUCAGUAGCUAAUAUCCUGCUGGCUGUGACGUACUCGCAGAAGAGACCCG